CUAAAUGAAUAAUCUGCAAAACAACACCAAAUAUAUAUAAUUUGCCCUCACAUGCCAUAUACUUUUUAGAUAUAUUAUUACGUGAAACUUUAUUUUUCUUCUCUCAUUUUCCCUUUUCUCUCCACCAACCACCUUCUUUCUUCCGCCAGAUUCAUUUUUUAAAUUGUAGGUCCUCCGCCGAUCUCUGCCUCAGCCACCGUUGUCCCACCGUUUUUGCCUUUAUUAAUCGCCACCACCACCACUCCGUUCAAUUGAGAUUCAACACCGGCGACGAGAUCUCAACAAAAGCGGAGAUGAAAAACAUAAGAAAUCAAAAAGUCAAUUCCGCCCAUCCUGCCGCCGCAGGAGAAGCUGUUGCUGGGGAAUUGCUAUGGCAUUGGAUGUGUGACUUGUGUUUCUGAGGUGUAUUACCUUCCACCUCUACACCGCCUCCAGCUCUUCCCUUUCACCUCCGCCCGUCGCGCUCUCCGCUGCAGCCGCCAAAGUCGUUAGAGAGGGUAUGGUUUUUGAUAACACCAUUAGAGAGGCUCCAAUGGUUAAUCUCGGAUUUAUCUUCUUCUUCUUCUUCUUCUUUUUUUUUUUUUUUAAUCACAUUGUUGAGGUCGGUAAUGAGAAUAGUGCAUUUUUGGAGAGUGGGGGCGAAGGUGAUUCACGAAGAUGGUGUUUUUGUUGUUGUAUUCGUUGGAAUUUGUUUCGCUAGAAUUGUGGUAUUUGUUUUGUAGUUGUUUAAAAAAAUGUAUAGUUGAUUUAAAUAUCUUUAGUUUGUAGUUAUUCUCAAUAGUUUUGUAAUUGUUUUCGAUAACUUUUAGUUGAUUUUGCUAAUUUUGUAG
rnacentral:lncRNA from 1 species